GAUUUUAGUUAAAAGGUCAUCCAAUAACAUUGGAAUGACACAGAGAAGAUUAGCAUGGCCCUGUAUAAGAAUGGCACGCACCGAUAAAGAAAGGUUCUGGUUAAAA